rnacentral:snRNA from 1 species
GUGCUGGCUUNGGCAGCACAUAUACUAAAAUUAGAAUGAUACAGAGAAGGUUAGCAUGGUNCCUGCACAAGGAUGACACAAAAAUUCAUGAAGCAUUCCAUUUAAAA